rnacentral:rRNA from 1 species
AGAGUUUGAUCAUGGCUCAGAUUGAACGCUGGCGGCAGGCCUAACACAUGCAAGUCGAACGGUAACAUUUCUAGCUUGCUAGAAGAUGACGAGUGGCGGACGGGUGAGUAAUACUUAGGAAUAUGCCUUUGUGUGGGGGAUAACCAUUGGAAACGAUGGCUAAUACCGCAUAACGUCUUCGGACCAAAGGGGGCCUUGGCUCCCGCGCAAAGAGUAGCCUAAGCGAGAUUAGCUUGUUGGUGAGGUAAAGGCUCACCAAGGCGACGAUCUCUAGCUGUUCUGAGAGGAAGAUCAGCCACACUGGAACUGAGACACGGUCCAGACUCCUACGGGAGGCAGCAGUGGGGAAUAUUGCACAAUGGGGGAAACCCUGAUGCAGCCAUGCCGCGUGUGUGAAGAAGGCCUUCGGGUUGUAAAGCACUUUCAGUUGUGAGGAAAGGUUAACGGUUAAUACCCGUUAGCUGUGACGUUAGCAACAGAAGAAGGACCGGCUAACUCCGUGCCAGCAGCCGCGGUAAUACGGAGGGUCCGAGCGUUAAUCGGAAUUACUGGGCGUAAAGCGCACGCAGGCGGUUUGUUAAGCUAGAUGUGAAAGCCCCGGGCUCAACCUGGGACGGUCAUUUAGAACUGGCAGACUAGAGUCUUGGAGAGGGGAGUGGAAUUCCAGGUGUAGCGGUGAAAUGCGUAGAUAUCUGGAGGAACAUCAGUGGCGAAGGCGACUCCCUGGUCAGUAACUGACGCUCAUGUGCGAAAGUGUGGGUAGCGAACAGGAUUAGAUACCCUGGUAGUCCACACCGUAAACGCUGUCUACUAGCUGUUUGUGGCUUUAAGCCGUGAGUAGCGAAGCUAACGCGAUAAGUAGACCGCCUGGGGAGUACGGCCGCAAGGUUAAAACUCAAAU